rnacentral:rRNA from 1 species
GAAACGGACGUCCCAGUUCGGAUUGCAGCCUGCAACUCGGCUGCAUGAAGCUGGAAUCGCUAGUAAUCGCGGAUCAGAAUGCCGCGGUGAAUACGUUCCCGGGUCUUGUACACACCGCCCGUCACACCAUGGGAGUCGGGAAUGCCCGAAGUCAGUGACCCAACCGAAAGGGGGAGCUGCCGAAGGCAGGCCUGGUAACUGGGGUGAAGUCGUAACAAGGUAUC